CAAUGAUUGUUGCAUGCCACUAUGAAGGUAGAGGAUGGAAAUUUUGGGGAGACAGUAAUUUGAAAAGCAAUUUUUGGGGUCGUUCAAUCCAACUUGAUCCUGUUGAUCUUUUAACUCUCGAGUUUGAUGAUGGUGAAGUUUUUCAGUGGAGCAAGGUCACAACUUUUGUGUUCUACCAAUCACCAAUCACCAAAACUUCGACAGUGUAGGCAUUUUUGUUCCCUUUCAGGAGAUAAUUGAUAUGGAUGAUGGAACAUAUGAAGCUGUUGCAGGAAGUGACUUUGCCUUUACUAGAGUUGCAUUUCGAGACAACUCUUCAAAAUACUACAUAAAUGACCGUGGAAGUAAUUUUACAGAGGUCACUAAGAAAUUGAAAGGAAAAUGAGUGGACUUGGACAAUAAUCAGUUUUUUAUUCUUCAGGUAGGUGAUGGGCUGAUGGCUGAAAAAGGCCCAUUUACUUGUGAAAAAAAUAUCAUACCAUCAAAAUGUAUCUUCUCUUUCAAUUCCUUAUCAUUGAAAUUUCAGGGUGAAGUC